CAAAAUCUCCUUGCUAAUGAUUUUAAAGUUUUAACUUUUAAUUCGACUGUAUAAUUUCUUUCAUUUUGUCGUUCUCGUGAAACCCUGUACGUCUAAGUCCAAAAUGUAAACAAACGUUUAGGUGAUUCCGGUGGUGGUCCACGACGUCAAUCAAAACAGAACGCGUCCGCAGCCAGGACUUGAACGCGGAUUCCUUCGAAGGAGGAUGGUGCGAAACGAGGUGCGGAACAAGGUUGGGGGAUUAGGAGAAAGUUGUUUUUCAAAAGGAUAAGGCCAGCUUCCUGCCGGAUCUGCAGCUGUUUCACGACCGAAAUGGGACGCCGUGUAUGCGGAUGUGAAUUUGCACCGGUUGUAUUCGGUGGUGGUGGCCCGGGUUGGGUAGACGAGAUUGAAGUUGGAGCAGAUUAAUACAUCCGCUUUCUGAACAAGUACGAUAAAGUAAAUUUUAUCGGUGAGGAGAAGGAUCCGACGGAAAAUAGAAGCGAUCGGAGGUGGUCAGCGCGGAUGUUGCACUCGGUGCCGGCGGUUUACGACCACCAGCAGCAUUAUGUGCCGGAAGUGAUGACGGGACACUGUGGGAUGUCCUGAGGGUCCGCAGUCUAUUUCUCGGUGCGGGACAUGUUUGACGAGUAUUACCGAGUAAAGCCGCAGGUCCUGAAGUGGAUUACUUCUAGAGGUUGGAGCGAUAUCCGACGAACCAGAUCAAGAACAUCUAUCUGGAAUACCGAAGAAUUCACCGCAACUCCCGCCCGCAAACGCUCAACUCGCGACGGCGCAGCUUCGGCUGGAUGAACUGGCAACAUCUGUGUCAUUCUCGAAGGAUGACCAAGUGAUCUGGAACUAUCGGUUCAGGUGCUUCACUUCCCAGUCGGAAAACGUCGACUUCCUUUCCUGAAUCAACACCCAAUGGCCAACUCCUCCAAGCCUGUUCUGAUGAUGGCCGGCAACGAGACCACCCUGUCCUCUACAUAGCUGUCGUGCUCCAAAAUGAAGGCCGCGAUGUUAAGCAGCAUAAGUAGCAGUUUUAAUAUUAAAAUUAAAAAAAUCCAUCAAAUUUUUCGAAAAUCAUCACUGUAAU